ACGAACGCUGGCGGCGUGCCUAAUACAUGCAAGUCGAGCGAAUCUGAUGGGAGCUUGCUCCUUGAUGAUUAGCGGCGGACGGGUGAGUAACACGUGGGUAACCUGCCUGUAAGACUGGGAUAACUCCGGGAAACCGGGGCUAAUACCGGAUAACUUUUUUCUUCGCAUGAGGGAGAAUUGAAAGAUGGCUUCGGCUAUCACUUACAGAUGGACCCGCGGCGCAUUAGCUAGUUGGUGAGGUAACGGCUCACCAAGGCGACGAUGCGUAGCCGACUUGAGAGGGUGAUCGGCCACACUGGGACUGAGACACGGCCCAGACUCCUACGGGAGGCAGCAGUAGGGAAUCUUCCGCAAUGGACGAAAGUCUGACGGAGCAACGCCGCGUGAGUGAUGAAGGUUUUCGGAUCGUAAAACUCUGUUGUUAGGGAAGAACAAGUAUCGUUCGAAUAGGGCGGUACCUUGACGGUACCUAACCAGAAAGCCACGGCUAACUACGUG
rnacentral:rRNA from 1 species